GGGAUGUGAUUAGUACUUUUUUACUUUCUGAAACGUUCAAUUGAAUGGAAACAGUGCUGUACUGAACAAGUUGAAAACUGGGAGAGGUUGAGUUGUGGGUUGGGGACACUGAGGUAUAAUAACAACUGAAGACUGAGUCCAAGUUGUCAGACCGUUGUUUUCAAGAUAUUGUAAAACGGGCAAGGGCAAUAGGCUUUCAACUGUGCUCAGAGGGUAUUUUCGGUAUUGCAGUUUAGCUGCAGUACGGACUAGAAAGACAAUUCCCAUUGACGGCCAUAUAGAGAAGUCACAUUUUUAAAUUUCAGACAAGACACUUUAGUUAUCAACUUUGUAAACAAAACUUCAAUUGAAUUAUUCAAGUAAUUGUCUUAGAGGCCUAUUUCCCCCCCAUCAUUCACAGUUAUUAACAGUUCAUGCUGUGACGUGGGCGAGCCUAUGCCACAUGCACACGCUGAAGGUAAAACUCACUCGCUCUCUCGACCUGCUCGAGCCUAAUGUAUCUGAAGGAGCCAAGGGAAUUCUUUGCACCAGACAGAAGCAAGAAAAAGAGUCGCAGCAAGAACCCGAAUAUGCCAUUGUGUUCAGCUCUCAACAGCAUCAAAACAUGUUUUUUGUUAUUAGGAUUUUGUUUUAAUGGUUGUUGUCAUGAUGAAUGUAGAUCGGAUAACGAUUUGUGUUGCAUUGGAAUCUAACACAUAGCUAGCUAACGGCAUCUUGACAGGGUUGUUUGCUAGUUGCUAAUAUAGCUAUAAACACAAUGUCUGAUAAGAUAAUUGUGAGGGUAAUAUUUAUUGAGUGACAUUAAUUGAAAUGCUGUCAAUAAGGCAACAUAGUAGGUGGCACGACUGGCGGGGCUUAGUUAGCUAGCUAGCAAUCUGACGUUCGAGUUCACGUGAAUCAACGUUCUAGCUAGCAAGGUAGCUAUCUAGCUAAAAUAAUUGAUCUAACUAGAAUCCACGUGGAUCCAUUUAAGCUAGAUAUCUGGCUAGUAGUGAGAUCGCAAGCUCACUAACAAGCUACAUGUGACAGACCUAGUGUGACUCCAAGUCACUAUAACUAAUGUUAGCUAGCUACUUUGUCCCCCCAAAUAAAAUGUAUUUUCAAACUAUGCAGUUUGCCUAGCUAGUGAUUCUCAAUAGCCAGUAGCUAUCUUGUUUAGCCCCCAUUUAAAUAACAUUAAUUGAGGAUAGCAAGCUAGUGUGCGUCAAAUCGCAUUAAAUAACUUCCACAAACACUUGUUUCUAUAGCUGACUAGGUAAACACCAAUACUAUCCUGCUAUCUAGCUCAUACAUGCUAAGUAAAAGUUGGGCCAGGUGUAAUUACAUUGAUCAUUUUGUCUACAUUGCUUGACAGCAAAGUUAUUUUAGAAGAUUCAGAUGAAAAGGUGGUCAUCAAAAGCAGUCACAAUGCCCCAGGGAAAGAUGAAGAAAUACAGUAGGUACAGCGGUAAGUGGCAAUGUUGAUAAUGCGAAAGCGUCUGCUGCACAUGAUCACACUUACUGUGUAAGUAACAUCGUUGAGGCACUUGAUGAUGAGGAUGUUGAUCACAGUGAUAUCACUGUGGUGCUGGAUAUGCAUGAUGACACCAGUUGUAUGUCAGAUGUAGCCCUACAUCACAAUGAUAUAGCUGUGACUGUGAAUGAAUGUGUGGCGCCAGAGGUCCAUAAUACUGGGGUUAAUGAUCAUGUUUAUGUUGUUGAGGACACCCCUUGUGUUCCUGAACACAACUAUAGGAGGCUGCUUAUGUCACCAGGUGAUGUUUCCACACCUCAGCUGAGCAGAGUGGAUCCAAAUCCAAUACCCACAAACCUACGCUCUCUAUCCCAGUUUGCCCGCAAAUGUUUUCCAUACUUUUUUAUUGGCGCGAGUGACAUUUACCAUUUGUUUUCACAUGCCACUUACCUGAAGUCCUCCUCUGUGUGUUCCAGCUAACGUUGUUAAUCGCAUUUUAUCCAAUUUCACUUGUGUGUUCCAAGCCAGCCGCUGUUGAUUCCUUGCCUCUACCAGAGAGCUACCUGACUGACUUCAAUGGAGCUGGAGGCUGCUGACGUCACCAGGCAAUGUUCCCACCCCUCAGUUUAGCAGCACGUGGACAUUGCAGCCUUCCUGAUCAAGUUCAAAAGCAAGAGAGCUCUCAUCGUUUUUUUAAUGUAACGCCUCCUCCAUCAGGCUGAUGAUAUCCUUGCCCUGUUGAUGGACAAUAUGCCCCCAGAUGCAGAAAAGAGGGAGCACCAGCUCGGCUCAUCAAACUGUCCAAUCUCUGGAGGUGACAACAGACAUUGCUCAAUCAGCACUUGAAUUUGGCUCAUUUGCUAGCCAGCUGAAUGGAUUAAAGUUUUAAUACACAAAUCCUUUAGCUAUUGUAUUUUAACAUUUUGUGUGUAUUUCGUAGAAGCUGGCAGGAUAUUGGGGGGGCUGUUCUGAGGUUCAAACAGUUUCAUUGUUUAAUAUCUGCUCAUUAUUAUACUGAGCAAUUACAAUUACAAAAUAUAAACUCAACUUGGAACAAUUCAACGAUUUUACUGAGUUACAGUUCAUAGAAGGAAAUCAGUCAAUUGCAAUAAAGAAAUUAGGCCCUAACCUUUGGAUUUCACAUGACUGGGCAGGGGCGCAGCCAUGGUUGGGCCUGGGAGGGCAUAGGCCCACCCACCGAGGAGCCAGUUCCAGCCAAUCAGAAUUAGUUUUUCCCAACAAAAGGGCUUUAUUAUUACAGACAGAAAGUCUUGAUGGUAUUUGUGAAAGAAAACAAGUAGGUGGCCAGUAGAAGAAGACCAAUUUAUUUUACUAUUUACAGAUAACAUUUAAGUGAUAAUGCCCGAGAAGCCGGGGUUUGGAGGAUAUUUUGUCACGGGUAUUGUUAUAUCCUAUAUAUCCUCAAAAUUCCGGCUUUGAGGCCAUUAUCACCUUUAUACAAUGGGUUACUAACAUAUUCAAAUAAUGAUUGACAUAUUUUCAUGAAGAAAAAAAAUAUUGUCCCGAUACAAAUCUAGGGUUGCUACCCAAGCCGGCUGGCCGUUUGUUCGCGCUAUUGGUUCAGUUGCCAGAGAUGCGACCUAGUCGUUCAGUCUUUUUGUUUUGUAUCUACA